CCGUGAGAGUGGGCAGUCCCACCCUCUGGCGGCCCCAGCCCUGAGUGAUCUGCGAGGGCUGGGUGUGCCCCCCUUCCUGCCCACUUUGGCGGAUCCGGGAGGAGACCUCGCCUUCUUCGGUACCUCCGGCUCAGAGGACCGCCGGGACUGCCUCUCCGGGCGCGCGAAGGAGGAGUUACCUCCUCUCCGCAUCCCCUACUGGGUGUCCCUUAAAAGAAUCAAUGAGAGAAUAAUUCAAUUACACUCUGCUGCUGCUGCUGCUGCUGCUAAGUCACUUCAGUCGUGUCCGACUCUGUGCGACCCCAUAGACGGCAGCCCAUCAGGCUCAGCCGUCCCUGGGAUUCUCCAAGCAAGAACACUGGAGUGGGUUGCCAUUUCCUUCUCCAAUGCAUAAAAGUGAAAAGUGAAAGGGUUAAAUAAUGUACUUUGAGGGACAAGAAGUGGUCUCUAGGAAAAACAAUGCUGUGACAUCGUUGAUGGCUAUUUUUGCCCAAUUCUGAAUUCAUUCAAUUUGGAUAACUUAAUUCAAGAUGUUAAGCCACUCUGCCAUGUUUGAUUCGUGGUUUUAUGUUUGCAUUUGAAAAUAAACUCACUGCCUGUAUUCACACAGCUGUAAUGGUUGUUAAUAUUCUUGUAAUAAGUUAAAAUGCUGAAUUUUUGCUUCUCUCUGACACCAAAUGUAUGGGGAUCUUAGAAGAUGU
rnacentral:lncRNA from 1 species